UCUGGAUGAUUAUUUCAGACAAUACUCUCUAGGCCAGUGUUUCUCAACCUGUGCGCCGCGGCGCACUUGUGCGCCGCGGGGAUCACAUAGGUGCGCCGCGAGUACUCGGACACGUCCUGUACCCGUCCAUCAGAGCUGCAGUCAGCUGGCAUUCCUGAGUUGCCAUAUCACUUGUCUUAUUUUACUUAUUUACACGUUCAUGUGAAAAAUUUUAGAUGUGUGUACAAACUGAGCAUAUGCAUACCAGUUGGUUGUAUACAAGAUGGAAUAUAUGAUGUGAUUUGCGUGAACCUUUAGUAACAAUUAAUAUGGCAACAUAUAACGAGAACAUUGGGUAGGCAGCUCCAGGGCCAGGACCAAGGGGUCUCGUGCUACAGUUGACUCCCCGUAACGCGUAGUGCCGUACUGCAUUCGUUGCUCAACGAGGCUUAAAAAUGGAGAAAUACCUCAUAAAAAAGCGUAAAUGUGCUGAAGAAAAAGAAGAAGAAGUUGCAGAGGACAUUAUUAAGUCAAAGCGUACAUGUGUCGAAGGCACUGAUGGUGACGUAACAGUAAAACCUGGUGAAAAUGAGACGUCUCGUCCAGGCCAUAUCGUGGAAAGUGAAGAAAAUGAAGUGAGAGUUGAAAGUGAGUACAGCUGUGCGGGUCCGAGCAGAAAAAGUGAUAUGACGGGCUUGAGAUCAGUUAAAACAAUGACAGGUACCAGCAAAAGUAGCCGCAGCAAGUCAUUUCGCAUGUAUAACGACAGUUACCUUGGACUUGGAUUCACUUGCUGUGAUAGCGAAAAUGGCCCUAAACAAAAAUGUGUUGUUUGUGGCUUGGAGUUAUCAAAUGAAUCUAUGACUCCACAGAAAAUGAAGAGACAUUUAUCAACUAAGCAUCGUCACCUGACACAGAAACCUAUAGAUUACUUUAAGAGACUCUUGAAAGAAAACAAACAACAAAGUCUUGGGUUUGAGAAAAAAGUGAAGGUAGCAGAAAAAGGCACAGAAAGCAAGCUAUUUAGUAGCAGAACAAACAGUAAAACAAAUGAAACCCCAUUCAAUUGCAGAAUCCUAUUUUCUUCCAGCUUGCUGUUCUGUAGUGAAAACUUUGUUUGGGGAUGAGGCUGAAAAAGAAGUGAAAAAAAUUCCUCUCUCAAACGAUACGAUUGGCAGACGAAUCAAGGAUGUGUCAUCUGACAUUGACAAAAGUGUGUGUGAACUGGUGAAAGAUAAAAUGUUUGCCUUACAAGCGGACGAAUCAACAGAUAUUGGAGGGAAACCUCAGUUACUUGUGUUCAUCCGUUUCAUUGAUGAUAAGAAAAUAACCGAGCAAUUCUUGUGCUGCAAAGAACUAAGUCAAACAACAGGACAGGAAAUAUUUUCUACAGUGACAGAAUAUUUGGUAGAAAUGGACUUAACAUGGAAAUUAUGUGUAGGAAUUUGCACAGAUGGUUGUCCAUCAAUGGUGGGGUCAGUAAAGGGUUUUGUGUCUUUAGUGAAGAAGGAAAAUCCAUUUCUGAUUACCACACAUUGUUUCUUGCACCGUGAAGCUCUUGUUGCUAAAACACUUGGACAAGAUUUAAAAUUUGUUCUUGAUAAUGUCGUGAAAAUGGUGAACUUUAUUAAAAGUAGACCAAAGCAGUCAAGAUUAUUUUCCAGUCUUUGUGAAGAAAUGGGAUCUGCCCACGAAGGUCUUCUCCUCCACACGGAAGUUCGGUGGUUGUCAAGAGGCAGAGUGUUAUCCCGUGUGCAUGAACUAAGAGAGGAAAUUCUUCUUUUCUUUGCUCUUGAAGAGAAAACAGAAUUCUGCGAAUUACUGGCUGACGAAAUUUGGAAUGCAAAAUUAUGUUAUUUGGCAGAUAUAUUUGAGCAUUUGAACAAGGUGAAUGUAAGUAUGCAAGGGAGAAAUGAAAAUAUGUUAACAUGCACUGAUAAAAUGCAGUCAAUGAAAGAAAAACUCAAGGUUUGGAAAGACAGGUCAAGUGAAGGUAAUAUUGACAUGUUUCAAAAGACUGCUGCAGCAAACAACACAGACAUUGUUCCACUCAUUACAGACCACCUUACAAGCCUAGAAAGGAGCAUUGAAAAAUACUUCCCAAAUAUAUCUACUGAAAGUUAUGAUUGGCUGAGAAAUCCAUUCGUGCUCGAUCCCUUACACAAGCCUCAACUUAGCACUCAUGAAGAAGAGGAACUAAUUGAUAUCCGAAAUGACCGCACAUUAAGACUGCAAUAUAUGGAAAUGUCAUUAGAAAGCUUUUGGAUUGAAAUGGAAAAACAAUACCCACAUAUUUCAAAAAAGGCCCAGAAAAUACUCUUGCAGUUUUCGACCUCAUAUUUGUGUGAACUGGGAUUUUCAGCACUAACAAAUAUAAAAACUAAGAAAAGAUGUAACUUGCUCUCUGUUGAAGAGGAAAUGAGAGUGUGUCUGUCAGCUGUCCCUCCCAACAUAGAGAGGAUAUGUAAAUCCAGGCAGGCACAGGUGUCUCAUUGAUAAGACGACGCCGUGACCCCCGCAGCCUCCCCUGACGGUCCCACAGGUCACGGAAAAUCGUUCACUUAUUUCCUGUGGUCAGAAUGAAGUGGAGCAUUUUUUAGCGGAGUAAAGAAUGGCUGCUCUGGUCUCCAUGGCUACGACUCGACCUGAACGUCCCGCCUGACCACCUGACCGCAAGCUGCCUUUCGCCUCGCUACUCCCGCCACAGCCACUGCCAUUAACAUAUUCACGUCCACCAUCGAUUGCUGCAACUUGAGGUGAAAAAAAAGUACUGAUCCCCGGGCGUCUGUGUGUCUGUCUCGCCGAAAAGCCUGGAUGCAUUCACCUGGCGUCUUCUUAACUGGAUGAGAGAAGUCAGAGAAGUCCCAUAAGUCAGGCUGGAAAAACGAUGCAGCUGCCUGCGUUCCACGUGUAACCAGCAAGAAACCUUAGUCUGACCUGCAGUGACUGUCCUGAGGCUUCGUAAGGCUGGCUGUGGUAACCCUGAAUUAAAUGAGGACGGAACGAGCAGGACGGAGCGAGCAAAGAAAAAAAAAAUAGAAAACGAGAAGAAAAGUGAAAUAAGGAGAAAACAAGAGAAGAAAAAAUAAAAAAGAACAAAGGAAAACGAAAUAAGAAAAAGAGAAGGAAAACGAAAUAAGAAAAGAAGAGAAAACGAAAGAAGAAAGCAAGAGAAGAAUAACGAAGAAAGAAAAAAAAACGAAAUAAAAAAAAUUAGAGAAGGAAAAGGAAACCAAACAACAACAGAAACACUGCAACAACUCGGUCAAGACACAGCUGGUCGCCAAGGAGAAGGCAAGACAAAGACAAAAAAGGAAUGAAAACACACCUACGCAAAAAGCAUCUCCUUUCCUCACUACAGACUGCAAUUCCACAACUGAGUCCCCGUGGAUUAAUUUCAUACAUGUGGAUUGAUACCGGCUAAACGUGACCUUCCAUGAGGCUGUUCACUAAUCCCGUUCAGUGUUGAGAAAAAAAAUAUAUGUGAUGGGGAUUAUU